rnacentral:rRNA from 1 species
UUUUUACAAAAACAUGUCUCUUUGUAUUAUAAUAAAGUAAGUAUAAAGAGUCGGACCUGCCCGGUGACUAUAUUGUUAAACGGCCGCGGUACCCUAACCGUGCAAAGGUAGCAUAAUCAUUUGCCUUUUAAUUGGAGGCUGGUAUGAAUGGUUUGACGAGAGCUAAGCUGUCUCUUUUGAAAUAUAUAUAAAUUAACUUUUAGGUGAAGAGGCCUAAAUUUGUGUAAGGGACAAGAAGACCCUGUUGAGCUUUAGUGAAGUUAUAAAUAUUUAACGUUGAUAAAACGUUAGUAUGUACUAGGUAUAAUUAUAAUUUGUAGCUAAUCUUUAGUUGGGGCGACUGAGGAACAUAAAAAGCUUCCUUAUAAAAAUCAAUUGAUUUUAGAGUAUAUCGUUUUUAUGCUGACAUGUUAUUUUGAUCCAAAAUUGUUUUGAUUAAAGGAAAAAGUUACCACAGGGAUAACAGCGUAAUCUUUCUGGAGAGAUCUUAUCGAAAGAAGGGUUUGCGACCUCGAUGUUGGACUAAGAUAUCCUAAGGGUGUAGAAGUUCUAAAGGUUGGUCG